GACGAACGCUGGCGGCGUGCUUAACACAUGCAAGUCGAACGGAGUUACGUAUGAAGUAUUUCGGUACGGACUAUGUAACUUAGUGGCGAACGGGUGAGUAACACGUGGGCAACCUGCCCUUAACCGGGGGAUAACAUUGUGAAAACAGUGCUAAUACCGCAUAACAGAGUAUCGGGCAUCCGAUAUUUUUAAAAGGAGCAAUCCGGUUUUGGAUGGGCCCGCGUCCAAUUAGCUAGUUGGUGAGGUAACGGCUCACCAAGGCUACGAUUGGUAGCCGAACUGAGAGGUUGAUCGGCCACAUUGGGACUGAGACACGGCCCAGACUCCUACGGGAGGCAGCAGUGGGGGAAUAUUGGGCAAUGGGCGAAAGCCUGACCCAGCGACGCCGCGUGAAGGAUGAAGGUCUUCGGAUUGUAAACUUACUUUGUAUCAGGGAAGAAAAGAAAAUAGACGGUAACCUGAAGAAACAAAGACCACGGCUAAACCUACGUAGCCAGCAGCCGCGGUAAAACGGUAGUGUGUA
rnacentral:rRNA from 1 species